AUCACUUCACAGCCUUUAGGCUAAAAUCAUGUGUAGUAUCAGUUCUUAGCAGUUUAAAAGCUGCCUCUGCAAUAGGUGAAACUUAUAAGUUUCAACUAUAUUCAAAUAGUCUCUUUGUCAUUCUAAUUUAU
rnacentral:snRNA from 1 species